GACGAACGCUGGCGGCGUGCCUAAUACAUGCAAGUAGAACGCACAGUUUAUACCGUAGCUUGCUACACCAUAGACUGUGAGUUGCGAACGGGUGAGUAACGCGUAGGUAACCUGCCUGGUAGCGGGGGAUAACUAUUGGAAACGAUAGCUAAUACCGCAUAAUAUUAAUUAUUGCAUGAUAAUUAAUUGAAAGGUGCAAUUGCACCACUACCAGAUGGACCUGCGUUGUAUUAGCUAGUAGGUGAGGUAACGGCUCACCUAGGCGACGAUACAUAGCCGACCUGAGAGGGGGAUAGGCCAAACUGGGACUGAGACACGGCCCAGACUCCUACGGGAGGCAGCAGGAGGGAAGCUUCGGCAAGGGACGAAAGGCUGAACGAGCAACGCCGCGGGAGUGAAGAAGGUUGUCGGAUCGUAAAGCUCUGUUGUAAGAGAAGAACGGGUGUGAGAGUGGAAAGUUCACACUGUGACGGUAUCUUAACAGAAAGGGACGGCUAACUACGUG
rnacentral:rRNA from 1 species